GACGAACGCUGGCGGCGCGCCUAACACAUGCAAGUCGAACGAGCGAGAGAGAGCUUGCUUUCUCGAGCGAGUGGCGAACGGGUGAGUAACGCGUGAGGAACCUGCCUCAAAGAGGGGGACAACAGUUGGAAACGACUGCUAAUACCGCAUAAGCCCACGGCCCGGCAUCGGGUAGAGGGAAAAGGAGCAAUCCGCUUUGAGAUGGCCUCGCGUCCGAUUAGCUAGUUGGUGAGGUAACGGCCCACCAAGGCGACGAUCGGUAGCCGGACUGAGAGGUUGAACGGCCACAUUGGGACUGAGACACGGCCCAGACUCCUACGGGAGGCAGCAGUGGGGAAUAUUGCACAAUGGGGGAAACCCUGAUGCAGCGACGCCGCGUGGAGGAAGAAGGUCUUCGGAUUGUAAACUCCUGUUGUUGAGGAAGAUAAUGACGGUACUCAACAAGGAAGUGACGGCUAACUACGUG
rnacentral:rRNA from 1 species